UGGCGACCGGCGCACGGGUGCGUAACGCGUAUGCAACCUACCUGUAACAGGGGGAUAACACUGAGAAAUCGGUACCAAUACCGCAUAACACUAUGAGAGGCAUCUCUUGUGGUUGAAAGUUUCGGCGGUUACAGAUGGGCAUGCGUUGUAUUAGCUGGUUGGUAAGGUAACGGCUUACCAAGGCGACGAUACAUAGGGGGACUGAGAGGUUAACCCCCCACAUUGGUACUGAGACACGGACCAAACUCCUACGGAAGGCAGCAG
rnacentral:rRNA from 1 species